rnacentral:lncRNA from 1 species
CAAGCCGAUAGGCGAAGGGCUGAAGGAUGGAACGUGCAAAGUAGAUCGUGCACCUGUCGUGUGACCCGUUGGUCCUAAGCAAUGUCUUGCGCGAAGCGACCCACUUAGAAAAAGCUCCCCUUUAUGUUAGGGGAGCACUAAAAUGCAACUUCGAUCGGAUGCGGGUAUCAAAUCCCGCCGCUGAGAUGUCCAGCGGAUUCCUGGGCCUUGACGAAUGGCCGGCCACCUUUUACGUUAUAAGAGCAAAAGGCCCAGGGCAUAGCAGGAUGAACCAAUGUGAAUGAGUGUAAGCUUCGUUGCCCGAACACGAUUGGUGCUGACCACACUAGGUGCUACCGUGGUAGCAAGAGAGGUCAGGCGGUGACAAUUGAGAGGUUGUCACUGAGCAUUCCUAGUCACACGGGAAAAGAGGUCAAAUGGCAAGGCCAUACGCCCGUUUGGCUCCUCGCGGAGUAUAGCUCACAUCCAAACAUCUGAUUGGGGAACGGGGCAACGCCCAUGAGGCUCCGGCAGAAAGGGAAGGCCUGCCAGGCCGUAUGCCCAUGGGUGCAUGAUUUUUCGAAAAAGCGCGGGCUGAAUCGGAGACCUGGGACCUUGGCUUAGUAAUGAAUGAAGGGAAGCUCUUCGAGCUUUCUCCGCCAGCGGCUUAUGUAGUGGUCGGCCUUAUAAAGCUCGCUAAGCCUCGCUUCCCUCUCCCCUUCACUUAUUAAUUAAGUGGAAAAUAGUCGUCGGCAUUCUAUAAGCGACUUGACCGAGUCUACGAAGCUUUGCUUUUCUUGUAGUCGGCCCGUAAUGCCUCCCUUCAUUUGCUUGCCUCCUUUCAGCUCAGAAUGCCUAAUGCCUAUUAUUUAAGAAGCUAACCGCCAUAAGCUCACCCUUCGGGUCUCGCUUCCAGCGCAGGAGGCCAAGCAUUCUGCCAGACGUCCCGGCCUGGGACCAUUAGCUCACCCUUCGGGUCUCACUUCCAAUGCAGGAGGCCAAGCAUUCUGCCAGACGUCCGGCCUGGGAUCCCCGUUCGCCCUUGGUACUUCAGUAGAUCUUCUAAAUAAAAAGCGCUACUUCAGCCUUAACUACAACUACAUUACGCAAGCCCCGCCGGUACCUACCUAUAGAGUCAAAUUAAAAUAAAAAAGUACCAGUGACGGGGACUUUCUAGGUUUAUGGAUUCAGUCAGCUAUACUCCAUCAAACUCAUCAAUCAAUAUCAACAAGAUGUCGUGACCGCUUAGGCUUGGUUUACUUUGGUUUGAAUGUAAACUAAAAUAAGCGGCGUUUAAACAAAGGGAACCGAAGGUUUCCUUGUUUAGUAGUAUGAAAGUAGUUCUACUAUUACGAUGUUUAAUAUUAAUAAGAAAUAUUCAGUGUUGUAGCUGUAGAACAGAAUGCCGUUCGCCUUUACUUUGACUUUCUGAGAAGGACUUAAGUAGCUAAGUUUCCAAAGGUGAACACCCCCCUGUCCUUUAUAGUAUAGUCGUAAAGGGCUUCUCAGAAAAGUCAGGAAGAAGGCAUUCGAAAGGCCGACCACUAUCUCAUAGGCAUUCUGGUGGUAAAACCGACGACUACACGGCUCUAUACCAAGUCAUGAGCGAUAGCGAAGCCAAGCCGCCGUCUAUAGGCGAAGGGACGAAAGCCCGACGAAGGCCUAUGCUACAGUAAGAAAAAAAGUACGUUGAGGUUACGAAGUCACUUAGCCGUAUACUAUACAAAGGGAAAGGCGUCGGUAUAAGUAGCUAAGUUUCCGAAGGUGAACACCCCCUGUCCUUUAUAGCAUAGUCGUAAAGGGCUUCUCAGAAAAGUCAGGAAGAAGGCAUUCGAAAGGCCGACCACUAUCUCAUAGGCAUUCUGGUGGUUAAACCAACGACUACACGGCUCUAUGCCAAGUCAUGAGCGAUAGCGAAGCCAAGCCGUCGUCAAUAGGCGAAGGGACGAAAGCCCGACGAAGGCCUAUGCUACAGUAAGAAAAAAAGUACGUUGAGGUUACGAAGUCACUUAGCCGUAUACUAUACAAAGGGAAAGGCGUCGGUACAGAGUCACGUCAGCUAUUGAUAUAGACUAGGCUAUUAGGAACGGAGUCAACAACUAUGAACCGAGACUACACUAAGGAAAAGGAAGCUUGACUGAGAAAAGAAGUCAAGGAACGAAGCUGCUCCCCUAAUUAGCCCCGUUGAAUGGGCGAAGGCUUUUUGAAAAAUUUGUUUUUGUCUUGUAAAUGCAUUUUUUUUCUAUUUAGAGAGAGGGGGCUUCAAGUUCUUAGGAAGAGCCGUACGAGACAGCUCACGUACGGUUCGGGAGCCGAGCCCCCGCGCAGGGGCUUAGGUCAACACUUAUAUAAUAGCCAGUCAUCAAUUGGAAGCGGGCAAGAUGGUGAUGAAUUGCGAUUGGUCUAAACCUUCGACUAGCGACUUAUUGCGACCUGCCCAGAAUGCCCAUACAGACUAAGACCUUAUUCACACAGCGAAGAAAGGCCGAGUGUAUACUUAUAUAAUAGCCAGCCAUCAAUUGGAAGCGGGCAAGAUGGUGAUGAAUUGUGAUUGGUCUAAACCUUCGACUAGCGACUUAUUGCGACCUGCCCAGAAUGCCCAUACAGACUAAGACCUUAUUCACACAGCGAAGAAAGGCCGAGUGGAAGGGGGCAGGCAGCUGGCUGCUUCUUUGCCAUGCGCUUUGCUUCGCUUUAUUUUAUAGAAGAAAGAGACCAAAUGAGAGUGAAAGGCAAGGGCAAGCGAUAGAAAGGAGAGUCCCUCGCGCGAACUACUACUACUAGAAAAUGGUGAGACCAUUAGUGAAAGAAGGACCAAGGAGGAUCCUAUCCUAAA